rnacentral:rRNA from 1 species
UAGCCCUAAAUCUUGAUGACCCCAAACACAAACAUCCGCCUGAGAACUACGAGCACAAACGCUUAAAACUCUAAGGACUUGGCGGUGCUCUAAACCCACCUAGAGGAGCCUGUUCUAUAAUCGAUAACCCACGAUUCACCCGACCACCUCUUGCCAAAACAGCCUAUAUACCGCCGUCGCCAGCCCACCUCGUGAGAGCACAACAGUGAGCCCAACAGCCCACAGCCCACUAACAAGACAGGUCGAGGUAUAGCCUAUGAGGUGGAAGAAAUGGGCUACAUUUUCUAAAAUAGAAAACCCAACGAAAAGGGGCUUGAAACCUGCCCCCAGAAGGCGGAUUUAGCAGUAAAGUAGGA